rnacentral:misc_RNA from 1 species
CGGUGUAUCAUCAAAAGCCCUUUAAUACUACUACUACUACUACAUUUCCUAUAACUUGUUCACCUUGUUCUAUUAUCAACAAUAAUAAUAUUAAGAACACAAUUAGUUCUUGUGCCUCUACUAGACCUAAUUUUCAACAAGGAGGGUUUUUUAGAUCAAGAUUUUUAUCAAGAUAUUCGACUAAACGGAGCACUAGGGCUCCAAGGAUGCGUUGGACAAGUACUCUCCAUGCUCAUUUUGUUCAUGCUGUUGAACUCUUGGGUGGCCAUGAAAG